GACGAACGCUGGCGGCGUGCUUAACACAUGCAAGUCGAACGAUGAGGCCCUGCUUGCUGGGUAGUCUAGUGGCGAACGGGUGAGUAACACGUGGGUAAUCUGCCCUUCACUUCGGGAUAAGCCCGGGAAACUGGGUCUAAUACCGGAUAGGAGCCCUUGUUGCUUUGCUGGUUGUAAAGUGUUUUUGGUGUAGUAGUGGCUCUCGGCCUAUCCGCCUGUUGGUGGGGUGUUGGCCUACCAAGGCGGCGCCGGGGAUCCGGCCUGAGAGGGGGGACGGCCAACACGGGGACUGGAAAACGGCCCGAACCCCAAGGGAGGGAGGCGGUGGGGAAAAUUGAACAAGGGGCGGAGCCUGAAUGCGGGGAGGCGGCUGGGGGAAGAACGGCUUCGGGUUGUAAACCCUUUUCGAUAAGGAAGAAGCCUAUAGUGACGGUACCUGGAGAAGAAGCACCGGCUAACUACGUG
rnacentral:rRNA from 1 species